rnacentral:rRNA from 1 species
GACGAACGCUGGCGGCGUGCUUAACACAUGCAAGUCGAACGGUGAAGCGCCUUCCUUUUUGGUGGGUGUGGAUGAGUGGCGAACGGGUGAGUAACACGUUAGUAACCUGCCCCCUUCUUCUGGAUAACCGCAUGAAACUGUGGCUAAUACGGGAUAUUCUGGGUCGGUCGCAUGAUGGGUCUUUGAAAGAUAUUGUUUCGGUGUGGGAUGGGCUCGCGGCCUAUCAGCUUGUUGGUGGGGUGAUGGCCUACCAAGGCGGUGACGGGUAGCCGGCCUGAGAGGGUGGACGGUCACACUGGGGCUGCGACACGGACCAGACUACGACGGGAGGCAGCAGGGGGGAAUAGUGCACAGUGGGCGCAAGGCUGAUGCAGCGACGCCGCGUGAGGGAUGGAGGCCUUCGGGUUGUGAACCUCUUUCGCCAGUGAAGCAGGCCUGCCUAGUUUGUGGGUGGGUUGACGGUAGCUGGAUAAGAAGCGCCGGCUAACUACGUG